rnacentral:rRNA from 1 species
CGAAAGCCCGACGGAGCAACGCCGCGUGAGGGAUGAAGGCCUCCGGGCUGUAAACCUCUUUUCUCAAGGAAGAAGAUCUGACGGUACUUGAGGAAUAAGCCACGGCUAAUUCCGUGCCAGCAGCCGCGGUAAUACGGGAGUGGCAAGCGUUAUCCGGAAUCAUUGGGCGUAAAGCGUCCGCAGGCGGCCUUGAAAGUCUGUCGUUAAAGCGUGGAGCUUAACUCCAUUUCAGCGAUGGAAACUACAAGGCUUGAGUGUGGUAGGGGCAGAGGGAAUUCCCGGUGUAGCGGUGAAAUGCGUAGAUAUCGGGAAGAACACCAGUGGCGAAGGCGCUCUGCUGGGCCAUAACUGACGCUCAUGGACGAAAGCCAGGGGAGCG